rnacentral:rRNA from 1 species
AUUGAACGCUGGCGGCAUGCCUUACACAUGCAAGUCGAACGGCAGCACGGGAGCAAUCCUGGUGGCGAGUGGCGAACGGGUGAGUAAUAUAUCGGAACGUGCCCAGUCGUGGGGAUAACGUAGCGAAAGCUACGCUAAUACCGCAUACGAUCUAUGGAUGAAAGCGGGGGAUCGCAAGACCUCGCGCGAUUGGAGCGGCCGAUAUCAGAUUAGGUAGUUGGUGAGGUAAAGGCUCACCAAGCCGACGAUCUGUAGCUGGUCUGAGAGGAUGAUCAGCCACACUGGGACUGAGACACGGCCCAGACUCCUACGGGAGGCAGCAGUGGGGAAUAUUGGACAAAUGGGUCGAAAGCCUGAUCCAGCAAUGCCGCGUGAGUGAUGAAGGCUCGG